GACGUCAAAUCAUCAUGCCCCUUAUGAUUUGGGCUACACACGUGCUACAAUGGACAAUACAAAGGGCAGCGAAACCGCGAGGUCAAGCAAAUCCCAUAAAGUUGUUCUCAGUUCGGAUUGUAGUCUGCAACUCGACUACAUGAAGCUGGAAUCGCUAGUAAUCGUAGAUCAGCAUGCUACGGUGAAUACGUUCCCGGGUCUUGUACACACCGCCCGUCACACCACGAGAGUUUGUAACACCCGAAGCCGGUGGAGUAACCAUUUUGGAGCUAGCCGUCGAAGGUGGGACAAAUGAUUGGGGUGAAGUCGUAACAAGGUAGCCGUAUCGGAAGGUGCGGCUGGAUCACCUCCUUUCUAA
rnacentral:rRNA from 1 species